rnacentral:rRNA from 1 species
UGGCGGACGGGUGAGUAAUGUCUGGGAAACUGCCCGAUGGAGGGGGAUAACUACUGGAAACGGUAGCUAAUACCGCAUAACGUCGCAAGACCAAAGAGGGGGACCUUAGGGCCUCUUGCCAUCGGAUGUGCCCAGAUGGGAUUAGCUAGUAGGUGGGGUAAAGGCUCACCUAGGCGACGAUCCCUAGCUGGUCUGAGAGGACGACCAGCCACACUGGAACUGAGACACGGUCCAG